rnacentral:tRNA from 1 species
UAACAGGUGGCACAGUGGUUAAGCGUUUGGCUGCUAACCAAAAGGUCAGUGGUUCGAACCCACCAGCUAU